rnacentral:rRNA from 1 species
CUUAGUGGCGGACGGGUGAGUAACGCGUGGGUAACCUGCCCCAUACCGGGGGAUACCACCUGGAAACAGGUGCUAAUACCGCAUAAGCGCACGGGAGCGCAUGCUCCUGUGUGAAAAACUCCGGUGGUAUGGGAUGGACCCGCGUCUGAUUAGCCAGUUGGCAGGGUAACGGCCUACCAAAGCGACGAUCAGUAGCCGGCCUGAGAGGGUGGACGGCCACAUUGGGACUGAGACACGGCCCAAACUCCUACGGGAGGCAGCAG